rnacentral:tRNA from 1 species
GCUCUCAUAGUUAAAUGGAUAUAACGACUCCGUCCUAAGGAGUAAUUCUAGGUUCGAUUCCUGGUGAGAGCA